rnacentral:rRNA from 1 species
UACGGAGGGGGCUAGCGUUGUUCGGAAUUACUGGGCGUAAAGCGCACGUAGGCGGACCAUCAAGUUGGUGGUGAAAUCCCGGGGCUCAACCCCGGAACUGCCUCCAAGACUGCUGGUCUGGAGGUCGAGAGAGGUGAGUGGAAUUCCGAGUGUAGAGGUGAAAUUCGUAGAUAUUCGGAGGAACACCAGUGGCGAAGGCGGCUCACUGGCUCGAUACUGACGCUGAGGUGCGAAAGCGUGGGGAGCAAACAGG